GAUGAACGCUGGCGGCGUGCCUAAUACAUGCAAGUCGAGCGAACGGACGAGAAGCUUGCUUCUCUGAUGUUAGCGGCGGACGGGUGAGUAACACGUGGAUAACCUACCUAUAAGACUGGGAUAACUUCGGGAAACCGGAGCUAAUACCGGAUAAUAUUUUGAACCGCAUGGUUCAAAAGUGAAAGACGGUCUUGCUGUCACUUAUAGAUGGAUCCGCGCUGCAUUAGCUAGUUGGUAAGGUAACGGCUUACCAAGGCAACGAUGCAUAGCCGACCUGAGAGGGUGAUCGGCCACACGGGAACUGAGACACGGUCCAGACUCCUACGGGAGGCAGCAGUAGGGAAUCUUCCGCAAUGGGCGAAAGCCUGACGGAGCAACGCCGCGUGAGUGAUGAAGGUCUUCGGAUCGUAAAACUCUGUUAUUAGGGAAGAACAUAUGUGUAAGUAACUGUGCACAUCCUGACGGUACCUAAUCAGAAAGCCACGGCUAACUACGUG
rnacentral:rRNA from 1 species